rnacentral:lncRNA from 1 species
GUCCCUGGCAGAUCCUGGCAUGCGGUGAGCAGACAGCUCGGUGCCGGUCACAGUAUUUCCAGCACCCGCCCUUGGAUGCAGCAUCCAAACUGUCCACGAUGUGUUGCCUCUACCUCCCCGUGGGUGCCUAUGGAUUCCAAAUGCACAGAGGAGUAGUCUGUGCCCAGAGCCCAUCAUUGUGCAAGUAGACAGCGGCAGCACCAUUAAGGUUUCAGUCUGGCCAACGGGCCUGCCAGGAGAUCUUCUGAAACUGGAAACCAGUCCACCUCACAAGCCCAUGGGGAACUCAGGGUAGACUAUUUAUGACAAGGUAAAUCUGCUGACAAUGAGCACCUUCUGGACCAAGUCCAGGGGCAGAAG